UGACGGUCACACCAUGGUGAAACGCUAGUUCCCGUACGAUCACCAAAGUUAAACAACAUUGAGCAUGAACAGUCCCUAGAUGGGUGACCGCACGGAAAUUCCAGGUGCUGUAAU